AUUGAACGCUGGCGGCAGGCCUAACACAUGCAAUUCGGACGAGUGGCGGACGGGUGAGUAAUGACUGGGAAACUGCCUGAUGGCGGGGGAUAACUACUGGAAACGGUAGCUAAUACCGCAUACCAUCAGAUGUGCCCAGAUGGGAUUAGCUAGUUGGUGGGGUAACGGCUCACCAAGGCGACGAUCCCUAGCUGGUCUGAGAGGAUGACAAGCCACACGGGAACUGAGACAAGGGCAAGAAACCUACGGGAGGCAGAAGUGGGGAAUAUUGCACAAUCGGCGCAAGCCUGAUGCAGCCAUGCCGCGGGUAUGAAGAAGGCCUUCGGGUUGUAAAGUACUUUCAGCGGGGAGGCGUUAACAGCAGAAGAAGCACCGGCUAACUCCGUGCCAGCAGGCGCGGUAAUAC
rnacentral:rRNA from 1 species